UAUCAUAGAAUCCUAGAAUAUCAGGGUUGGAAGGGACCUCAGGAAGUCAUCUAGUCCAACCCCCUGCUCAAAGCAGGACCAAUCCCCAACUAAAUCAUCCAAAUUAGAUGGUAGAUGGGGGCACAUUUAAAUAUCACAGACCUGAUCCUGCUAUUACUGAAGCUUUGUUUCUUUGCUGUUCCCCAGCAGGUGCUGCUAAAUACUUUAUCUCCUUUGGGUUUGAAGAUACCACUUGUGUAAUGAGAGGAGAUCCAAUUACAGGGUUAUCCAAUUUACCUUCCCAAAAGGUCCUUGCUGAGUUAGACCGUCUCCUGUGCUGUCCAGCUGUUGCUCGCGAAAUAAGGAGGAGCUACAUUUCAAAAUUCACUUAAAAGCAAUAUCAAAAAACCCGGAAAGGCUUUGAUCUUUCUAAAUAUUCCCUUUGUUCUGUCAUUCGGCAAUUCCUGUGUGCUUCAAAGGUAAGGUAACAAUCCACUCUCUGUACUCUUCCCUGAACUGUGGUCAUAAACUCACCCCUGAAAUACAGUUUAAAUAACCCAGAGCCCUACAACCUUCAAAUCAAGUAAUGAAGAUCUUUCCACUGUUCAUUUUGUUAGAUUAAUAAAAGGCUACAAUUUUUCUCAA